rnacentral:tRNA from 1 species
GGGCGUUUAGCUCAGUGGGAGAGCGCCUGCCUUACAAGCAGGAUGUCGGCGGUUCAAAUCCGUCAACGCCCA